CCAGCCGGUACCCGCCUGCUUCUCGCCGCCCUCCCUUGCUGCGGGUUUGUGCCUCCCCUCGCUGGCGCUGCUCACACCCGGCAGAGACCCCCACCACCACUACGACCCCCCCCCACACACACACAGCACCUGCGCCUUUGCACCGCGUUUUGGGGGCUCGGGCACCCCGCCGCACCUCUCUCCCCUCCCACACCCUCCCCACGGCCUCGCUGCCGGUCCGGGGGUCGCGGCGCCGAGCCCCCCAACCCGAGGGCACCCCCGCGGCGCCGGGCGGGGCGAGGGGCGGGCGGCUCGGCCCCGCUCCUCCCCGUGCCGGGGCGGUGCGGUGGGACGGGGGCGGGACGGGACGGGACGGAGGAGGAGGAGGAGGAGGCGGAGGAGGCGGCGGAGGGGCGCAGCCGCCUCCUUUCGGGGCCGGGAAGCGUCUCCCCCGGGGGGGGUUGCGCCGUCGGCGGCCGCUGCCAGUUGCGUAAGGGCGGCAGCCGGGGCGGGGAGCCGCGGGGGGUGCCGAGCAGCCGUGCGGCCGCUCGCCCGCCGUGUCCGGGGCGGGGAGCGCCAUGCCGCCGCCCUGAGCGCGCCGCCGCGACGCGACGGGCCCAGGUGAGAGCCGGGGGGGAGGCACCGGCACCGGCACCGGCACCUGGGCUGGGGAGAGGGAGCGUGGGGAGAGCGCCGCGCUGCCCGGCGGCCGCCCCGCACCGGCCUCUUUUGUUCCCGGCAGCGGGGAGGGAAGGGAAGGGAAAAGGAGGAAGGGGAGGGAAAGGGAGCGGCACGGCUCGGCUCGGCUCGGCCCCGGUUCCCCCCCGUGCCGGGGCUGUGCGGCCGGCGGCAGGUGUGGGCAGGGCGGCAGGUGGUGCGGGGACCCGCGCCGCUCCCCCUCCGGCCAGCGGCAGGGCAGGGGUCGUGUGCCCCCCCCGCGGGUUAGGGGCUGCCCGGCCGGCUCGUUGCCCGAAGGCUGUGGGGGAGAGGGGAAGGAGAAACAAAAAACCCACCCCGCAACAACAAUGGGGGCCGCAUCUCUCAGCCCUCCUAAUGAAAGCGAGCGUGCGGUGA
rnacentral:lncRNA from 1 species